AAUUUUUUGGUUGGUUCUAUUUGAAUUCUAGACAGUUUUGGUCAUCUGGGUAAUUAUUUUUCUUAUUGAAAAUUCCCUUGAGAGAUACCGAUUCUGUGUUUUUGUUGGUCUGUCUCUGUUUUCCAAGCUAAGGGUUAUCGAUUUCUAGCAGAGAGAGAAAAGGUAGUUCAAAAUUAGUUGUUGAGUUCUGGUUUUGUAUUCACGGGAAAAUCAGGUUUGUCACAAGAAAGGUGCUUAGGGAAAGUUGAGAUUUCUCAACUGCUUCAGUAACUGCUGGGCCUUUUUUUGCUUGCUCAGGGGUUUUCUUUUUCUUUCUUAAUUUGUUUUCUCGGCUCAGAAGAAUCUCAAAGCACUGUCUUGGAUAUUAGAUUUAGAGCAGUGAGAAAGAGAGAUUUACUGUGUUGUUGCUUUUUCUUGUUCUUGUGUAUACUUGGCUCUGUUUUCACUAUGAAUCCUUCUGGGGCAGUAUGUGAUCAGAAAGUGGCAGCAGUUGAAGUUACCAAAGACAGAAACGGAAUUGAUCAAAUUGUGCUUCGCAACCCUCGAGGAGCUUCAGCUCGGGUUAGCUUGUUUGGAGGACAGGUUCUCUCAUGGAGGACUGAUCAGGGAGAAGAAUUGCUAUUCACUAGUAGUAAGGCAAUUUUCAAGCCACCAAACCCAGUGCGAGGAGGAAUUCCCAUUUGCUUUCCCCAGUUCGGAAAUCGGGGAGCGUUGGAGCAACAUGGGUUUGCUAGGAAGAAACUUUGGGCGAUUGAUUAUAAUCCACCACCAUUGCAUCCCAAUGAUUCCAGUGGUAAAGCCUAUGUUGACUUGAUACUCAGGCCGUCUGAAGAAGAUCUAAAGAUCUGGCCACACAGUUUCGAGUUUCGUCUCAGGGUGUCUUUGUCAGCAGAUGGAAACCUAACCUUGCUAUCGCGCAUCAGGAAUAUUAACAGCAAGCCAUUUAGUUUCUCCAUCGCUUACCACACGUAUUUCGCAAUCUCAGACAUUAGUGAAGUAAGGGUUGAAGGGUUGGAAACUCUUGAUUAUCUUGACAACCUGUGCCAAAAGGAACGCUUCACAGAACAAGGAGAUACCUUGACGUUUGAAUCUGAGGUGGACAGAGUUUACCUCAGUUCUUCAGAUGUUGUUGCUGUUUUUGAUCACGAGAGAAAGCGCACGUUCAUGAUAAGAAAAGAAGGACUUCCUGAUGUUGUGGUCUGGAAUCCAUGGGAGAAGAAAUCAAAGUCCAUGGUAGAUUUCGGAGAUGAAGAGUACAAGCAGAUGCUGUGUGUUGAUGGGGCAGCAAUAGAGAAGUCAAUCACAUUGAAGCCAGGAGAGGAAUGGACAGGCAGAUUAGAACUCUCCAUUGUACCUUCCAGUUGAUGAAAACUGCGGUAACCUCCCUUGAUUUGACAUGAAGAUUCAAAGACAUAUAUCACUAAAUAACCCCCAAUAAACGUUCCUUUCUGCCAUUGUUCAAUCUGUAUUUGUAUGCAAAGAUGAAUGAAAUCAUAAUCACUAGGGAUGUUGAUAAUGAUUUUACUUGUUUAGUCAAUAGGAGAUGUUAGCUUUAGGUUCUCUGUGUGGUAGCAAAGCAAAAGCUGUUGAACAAAAUUAUUUGCCAACAAUAAUUGUAUAAAACUAUAUGCAUAUGAGCUGUGGAUCUAUGUUUUUGUAUUUUGGU
rnacentral:misc_RNA from 1 species